rnacentral:lncRNA from 1 species
ACCCCCACAAUCUCUGAGGUCCAUAGAUCUCAGGUCUGCGUGAAAUUGUCUCAGCUAGGCCUAAAGUCACCGGGCCGCCCGAGCCUCCCUCUCAAGGAGCCUGGAUCUUAGCCUGAGAGAUGAAGAAAGCCACUACGGGGUAUUGAUCCAGGAGGGGACAUGAGGGAAUUAUGGUUUUCAAAAGCUCACUCAGGCUGAGGUGUGAAGAGCCUGGCUUGUACGAGUAAAAGCAUGGAAAUAGAGUGGCUAGUUAGGUAACCGCGGUGGCCACCAUCCAGAAAGAGCUGACGACAGCGACUGAUUUAUCGGAACUUCUCUGGAAGCCUGUCUUAAAGUUCUAUUUCUCUGAACCAGAACAACCCAGAAUGAAACUUGUACCAGUGUCCUGUUUAUACCAUUCCUCCCUGCAGAUGGAGCAACUACCUCAUCUCCUAUCCUCUGACCCAGUUUGUGGGGUUGUAUUCUGACCUUCAGCUUCCCAGACACCAACAAAGUAAUCUUGGAUACAUUCCGCUCACCACCACAGAGCCUUGGGCUCAUGUGACCUGUGUUCCCUGCUGGGCCUGCUUUCUGAGUGCUAAGAUUGACCUUAUAGUCCCCUGAACCUCCUGUGCCCUGUUGCCUACCUGGACAUUGCUUGAGUCAGAUCCCAGAUGCUUUCCACCUGAGCUUGAAAAUAAAAUACAUGUUACACUUGAAUAUCACUAGACAUCAUAGGAACCUGUAUCAAGUAGGUUUGCUAUAUUAAAGAGGGCAACCAGACCCAUACUAGCCUUCAUGGAAAUGAGAAAGAAGCCUUUCUGAAUGCAGUCACCACAGUUAGGGGCUUCUCUGUUACUAUGAACCACGUCAGUGAAGAUCAGGCUGCAGCUGAGAAGCAGGGCUAAGGCAUGGCACACCAUCAGAAGUAGGAGCAGUUCCAAAGAGCUUCAUCUCUGAAGGUUGAGGGAGUAGACACCUCUGCCUGUCCUUUGGCGGUGCCCACAUAAGGAAACUUUCCUCCCAGAGGUGUGCUGGAUUCCUAUCCCUGACAUGGGGUUGACAUCAAAACAAUUCUGCAACAGGAAGAACCAGGAGGCGGCUCAUCUGACAAGAACCCCUCCUUCAGCAGGAAGACUGGAGGUGGUUUGAUCUGGUGCGUGCUUACAUAACACUGUCUCCCUCAGAAAUAUCCUCUACCAGGAAUGGUUGCUCCACCCCACAAAUAAAUCCCAAGAGCUCUCUCUGAAGUUCCAAGCUCUCCUUGGUUUUGCCUUGGUGCCAUCAAGACAAAUGCAGCAGGAGACAACACUGAGAUGGUCUCUCGGAAUGAAGCGGCAUAGGUUCUCCUGAGAGAAGUCGGAAGUUGCAGCUUAACCAUAUUCCCUUCACACAAGGCCUGCUCUUCGGGUGACUUCUGAAGAGCACUGCCUGACUUCAAUACCCACGGUCACCUUCCCUUCCAACUGAGGAGUGUGAGACAGAAGGCUGCUGGAAAAUGUAAAGAAAAAAAAAAGGCAUAGCGGCAGGUUCAUCCUUGCAACGACGCUUGCUGGAGUCUCCUUGUUAGAAGAGCAGAAUGUUCCAGAAAUGCAGCAAAGCAGAGCCUGAGCUGAGUCUUCAGGCAUCAGCAGCCUAGUGAAGAAGACAUGUGGCCCAACAGAUAGGUGUGCAGCAAUAAUUAAAGACCUGGUAUCUGGCCAUAGACCUUGGCGGGCCUGUGGUAUGCCUGGAGUCUAGGGAUAAGAACAGCCGCACGUGUGCAUGCAAGUCACCGGGAGCCCUACUGGCCUGUUUUCUAAGUGGAUCAGGCUCCAGUAAAGAUCACCAGCUU